rnacentral:piRNA from 1 species
UCCCUGCUCUCUGCAAGUUGCAUC